GGUCCGCUGGUGUAAGUGGUAGCAGGCCUGGUCUGGGUAUUAGUACCGACGGGGAAAGUGCUCUUUAGUGACCAGGAGAGUGUCGGUUCGACUCCGAGGCGGGCCU
rnacentral:tRNA from 1 species